rnacentral:sRNA from 1 species
CUAGUAUGAGGGCAACACAUCGCGGCGGGAGCAAGACUAUGUAUUGGGAUGAUGCAGUAAUAUUCGGGUUGGUCACCGUCGGCAUGAUGAUUGUUUUCAUGGCCGGUUGGGUGGGUUUCAUUGUCCGCGAUCAUCGUCGUAAAAAGUAGGUUUAUCAGUCGUCAGGGAGGAGGCCGAAGUAAAACCUGAAUUCAGGCAACCAAGGCUUCCAGUCGCCGGUUCUUCGGAGCCGGCAUUUUUUU